UGGCUUACACAAUAUUCUUAGAGAUAGAGAGAGGGAGGGAGAAUGCACAACCGUAAAAUAUUAUUUGUAGUUGAACGUUCUUCUGCUGCUGAUUUACAAUUCAUUAGACUGAUGGAUGAUUACAAAAGCCCAGCAAGUCCUUCAUACCGUCAAUCGUUAUUCGUAGUACCAUGAUCACUCAGUGCUGAUUUACACUUCAUUAAACCGUUUUAAGAUGAGAAAGCCAUCAAAAACCUCAAAUAAUACUGUUAAAUCACCUAAAAGUGUGAAGGAAGAUAGCUGGAUAAAACCCCAACAUCAGGGAAAGCACAAUCAGCAGUAUCCUGAUGAGUAAAUCCCGUUUCCAUCCCAGCAUUAUUAAAGCUUCCAAUGCAGUCCACCAACUGCUCAGGCUCUCGCACUUCCGCCAUGUGCGAUGGAGAUGACAAAUGAGAGGACGACUCGCUCGUAGGAACCACCGUUCUAUCGUUCUUUGAUGGUGUAGGAAGCUGGAAGCGACAGAGAGGACAUGACCUGUGGUUGGAAUUAAGCCAGGGCAGAAUGCAUUCGGGAUGGAACAAGUGAUUGCAAGGGAGGAGCUUUGCAUCGAUGUCGAUGACAAACUGGUCCUUGCAAACCGCGCAGAGAAGCACUGGGUCGUCGUCCUCCCUUCCCUUCAGAUGGAAAGAUGUGAUUUUGAUGGUGGGAAGGAUGGAGUCUAUGGAGGGGGAGAGAGUUCCACUUGUAUCAUCGUCGGAAUGGUUGAUGUCGUUGAAAAGUGGGAGAAAGAAGCGGCGGAAGGAGGGGCUAUCGAGGAAGAAAGAGUUGGUGUCGGUGGUUCCGGUAGGAGUAGUGGGGGUGGGGUCAUCCAUGAGUUCAAGACGGUCACGGAGGCAGUGAGGGCAAAGAAGGGGAUCAGCAGUGGUGGAGAGGAGGUGGAGGCUCAUGUCGCAUUCGUGGCACCAGUAUGUUUGGUGCUGUGUUUCGGUGGAUGACAUCUCUUCACUUCUCUUCUGCCUCUGUUAUCUUCUCUCCUUCUGUUCUCC
rnacentral:misc_RNA from 1 species